AGGUGCCUAUAUGCCUUGUGCAUAGGCCUAACAAGAGAAGCCGGUUUGAGGCCGGCGCGGUCCCGCCACUGUAGCAGGGAGCAAAACCACAUUUUAUGUCACUGGAGCAAUCUGGGAAGGCGUGGUUGAGCGAUGAUCUGGAGCCAGGAGAACUGCCUGUUUAGC
rnacentral:ncRNA from 1 species